UUGCAUCAAAAUGACUCAUAUCUUAAUUUGUCAGAUGCCGAAGUCCUUCACAUCAUUGAACUUCUUGAUUUUGAAUUUUACAGUUGUCAUUGCCUCGAAAAGAUCAAGACUCUAAUACCACUUAUUGCGACAGGUGAGAAAAAUAACAAAAUAAGAUGAAAAAAAAAGAGUAUCAAGAUUUUUGUGGUUCAGUCUAUUGACCUACAUAUACAGAUAG
rnacentral:lncRNA from 1 species